UCAUCGCAGCCUUUUCGAGUCAUCGGGUAAUAGUACAGACUCUUUCGUCUGUGGUGAAGCCAGUCGCCGUCUCCGGGCACCACAAGCUCCCGUUACUCUCGUCUGCAGUCCUAGUACCCCGUCACAAGCCAAAGGCGUCCGCAAAGGCACAUCGUCUCGCCAGCGAAGCAUUCCUAUUGCUUUUAAUUCCCUUUACUCAUUUUGUCGUUUUAUUUCUUGGAUAAAUCCAGAAAACAGUCAACAUGGAAGCCAUCAAGAAGAAGAUGUUAGCCAUGAAAAUGGAAAAGGAGAAUGCCUUGGACAAGUCCGAGGAGUUACAGCAAAAACUAAGGGAAACCGAAGAGCAAAAGGCAAAGGUUGAAGAAGAUCUCAGCAAUCUGCAAAAGAAAUACGCCAACCUUGAAAAUGAUUUCGACAAUGCUAACGAACAACUUCUUGAGGCACAAACAAAACUGGAAACCCAGGACAAGAGGGUCACCGAGCUUGAGGGUGAAGUGCAGGGUUUGAACAGGCGCACAACAUUACUUGAGGAAGAUUUGGAACACACUGAAGAAAGAUUGCAGAGUGCCACAGAGAAGCUAGAGGAAGCUUCCAAAGCUGCAGAUGAGAGUGAAAGAGGACGCAAGGUGCUUGAGAACAGGAGCGUGGCUGAUGAUGAAAGGAUAGACCAGCUUGAGGCUCAGCUUAAAGAAGCCAAAUACAUCGCUGAAGAUGCUGAGCGUAAAUACGAUGAGGCAGCCCGUAAGCUCGCGAUUACAGAGGUGGACCUUGAGCGUGCUGAGGCCCGUAUGGAGGCCGCAGAGGCAAAGAUCCUUGAGUUGGAGGAGGAAUUGAAGGUCGUGGGCAACAAUAUGAAAUCUUUGGAAAUCAGUGAGCAAGAGGCUUCACAGAGAGAGGACAGCUACGAGGAGACUAUUCGGGAUCUGACCCAGAGACUUAAGGAUGCUGAAAGUCGAUGCGAGUCCGCAGAAAGGAAUGUGGUAAAACUGCAGUCAGAAGUGCAGGAGUUGGAAGGUGUAGCUUUCAAAAGAUCCCCUUAGCUUGCUGUUUCUCUGAAGACAAGGUGAGAAACCAUUGAUGAAUUGCAGGAAACUAAACAACAAAACAAGCAACUUCAGGAGGAGAUUGACCUGACCCUAAACGACAUUGCCAGCAUGUAAUCCGGACUCAUGAUGAGCUACUGGCCGAGAAAGAGAAAUACAAGGCGAUAAGUGAAGAACUAGACCAAACUUUCGCAGAGCUGGCUGGCUACUAAAGUUUACAUCUUUCAAACCUAGGGGGAGCUCGUGAAGCAGAUAAAAAUCAAUCGAGGGAUUUUUUUUUUUUGAGACCUGCACAAUUACUCGUGCCCAAGCAUUCUUUUAAAGACGACUCAGUCAUGUGUUUUUAACAUUUUUCUGUGGAACUGAGUGUAGGUCGAGACCAGUUGUCCUAAAAGCCCCCUUUUGUAUGAAGCAGCCAGGUCAGGAACAGGCAGAGAAUAAUAUACUGUUGUUUGUCUCAUUUUGAUGGAACUGCCUGUUGCUUUCUUCUGUACAUGUUUUACCAGUGAUUUUGCAUGGGUGCUAGGCCAGAGUAGAGUUAGAGAAGAGAACAGAGUACUUGCAGGCCAGCGGGUUUUUUUUGAUUUUUUUUGCAUAUUACCCAGAAGGUAAUAUCCCUAUGUUGGUGCAUAUUGCAAUGCAAUUUAAUAUUUACCCUUUGAAGAGUGUGGCACUGCAGGGAAGCUGGAAUGCUAAAACCUCUGUCUCUCUUUCUCUGUCUAUACUCUCUGUAGUUCUCAUUGUAUUAUUUCAUUUGGCUAGAUUUUUAACCUUUUUGAUAGCCCGGUCAAAGCCUAGCACCCUGGCAAAAUCACCCUCCAUGCAAAUGGUGCCACGUCAUGCACUUGAACACAUUAGGCAUGACUAGUGACCCUUGCUUUUUGUAUAAUACUUAUAUUGAUUUACUUAAUCUUUGUAUUUAAGCUAAACUUUUAAGUGAUACGAAGGGAAAAUGUUUAGAAAGAAAGAUUAUGACACACAAUAGAACCACCUCCAAAAAAAAAAACAUAAAAGAAAAAUACUAAAAAAAAAAAACAGGCAAGAAACGUACAUGAACUGUUGGUACAGCGCGUUUGUAAUGAACAAGCCUCAAGUUCAGACGGUACCUGCCUGUGGAAUGAAGUGUGCGAUGUCUGAUGAAAUGAGUAUUUUGCAUGUGCCAUUUGUACUGACAUUGUGUCUGAUUGCCUGUAACAGAGAAAGAUGAAAAAAAAAAGCUACCAGUAAGAACUUCCUGUAACAUUAAAUGAUGUAAAAAUAUUUUCUAAUGACGGUCCGUUGCUUGCUCCUUUCUGUCCUCCUAGACUGGCUUUGAACAUUGUGGUUAACUUACAGGAGUAGCGAUCCCAAACCGCAUGUAUACGUAGAAACAUUUGUAGUAGGUAUAUAUAUAUAUAUAUAUUUGGGCAGGGCCUAGAGUGUGGGGGGGAUACAGGACUGGUGAAGCGGGAAGGUUUCUCUGUUAAUACCAGAUCGCUUCCUCUGCAUGUUUGAUAAGGAAUCCCCCAGGUGUGUGUUUCACUAACAUUUCCCCUCCUUGAGAGAUAACACGACCCAGCUUUCCUGUAUUUUUUUUUUUGUACCUUUUAUCGACAUUGUAGAGAUUUAUUUUAUCCUUUUGAUGCUUACACAUGCUAAUGGCCUGGAAAUUGCCACUUCUUUGUUUAUACCCAAAAAUAAAACUGCUAUUGUGAUUGGAAUGCA